GAUGAAGAACGUAGUGAAAUGCGAUAAGUAAUGUGAAUUGCAGAAUUCCGUGAAUCAUCGAAUCUUUGAACGCACAUUGCGCCCUCUGGUAUUCCGGGGGGCAUGCCUGUCCGAGCGUCAUUUGCAACCCUCAAGCCCGGCUUGUGUGAUGGGUGCCGUCCCCUACGGGACGCGCCCCGAAGGCAAUGGCGGCGUCGCGGUUAUCCGAUCAGCCAAAGUGUAUGGGGCUUUGUCACUCACUUUACGGCCCGGACCGGCGCCAGUCCGAAUCAAUCUUUUUUCUAAAGUUGACCUCGGAUCAGGUAGGGAUACCCGCUGAACUUAAGCAUAUCAAUAAGCGAGGA
rnacentral:misc_RNA from 1 species